rnacentral:rRNA from 1 species
GUAGGUGGCAAGCGUUGUCCGGAAUUAUUGGGCGUAAAGCGCGCGCAGGCGGUUCUUUAAGUCUGAUGUGAAAGCCCACGGCUCAACCGUGGAGGGUCAUUGGAAACUGGAGAACUUGAGUACAGAAGAGGAAAGCGGAAUUCCACGUGUAGCGGUGAAAUGCGUAGAGAUGUGGAGGAACACCAGUGGCGAAGGCGGCUUUCUGGUCUGUAACUGACGCGGAGGCGCGAAAGCGUGGGGAGCAAACAGGAUUAGAUACCCUGGUAGUCCACGCCGUAAACGAUGAGUGCUAAGUGUUAGGGGGUUUCCGCCCCCCUUAGUGCUGCAGCUAACGCAUUAAGCACUCCGCCUGGGAGUACGGCCGCAAGGCUG